GGAGCAUCACAGUAUUAUUUGUAAUAAAUGUUUACAUGAAACCGGGACGAAAAUAACUCAGACCGGUCUCAAGUCAUUCCGCCUGCUGGACCGAACCGACUGACUUCAGACCGGCAUGAAUUCAGACCGGGAUGAAUGUAAACACAAAAACAUUUCAGACCGGUCUCGGCUGUAACCUUGACAUUGGAACAUGCACAUGCUAACAAAAGUCAUCUAAAAAAGAAAAUUGCCUGGCAAGGGGAAUAAAUUGAAAAUUUUGUGAUUUUCGUACCGAUCUCAUGUAAACAUGAAGACAACUUCAAUUUUCACUCCGGUUUGACUUCGUCCCAGUCUCAUGGAAACGGGGCCCUCUUGCGGGAAUCGAACCCGUGGCCCUGCAAUUCCGCGGUGACCUGUUCAUUCCAAAACUCUAUAAAUGAACAACUAUUCUCACCAGUGUCAGCCGCAACCGGUUCUUUCUUCUUGGCGUCUUCCCGAGCGCUGCUAUCAGCAUGAUCCUCAGCGGCUUCCGAAGUUCUACGUUUCCUGCUGAUUGUCGGCCGACGUCGGGGGUGAUUCGAUGGAGUGAAAACGUCGCCCUCAUUUUCCGGGAAACGCACGCUACGACGGUUUUGUGCCGCGCUUAAUCUGUUCUUUGCUUUCUGGGCGGCCUGAAGUAGUAGAUGAUGAAGUCGUUAUGCCGAGGAUUAGGUUUGUGUUAGUAGUCUUAUAUUUAAGGUUAGUGUCGUACCUUACUAUGUGACUAUUCACCCUCCAGCUAUUCAAAAACAUCAUUGACACUCAAGAAAAGCUCAGACUGAACCUCCACUCACUGAGUGCGACGCGAUUUUUUAGUUUUUGAAAGUUAAUAAAAAUGUUAGAUUGAUGCAAAAUGUUAGAUUGUAAUGCCAAAUGAC
rnacentral:lncRNA from 1 species